GAAAUGCCUUCAUGAGACCCAGCUGUAAGGCAUUUUCUCAACUAGUAAUCAAGGGGAGAGGGCCCCUUGUGGGUGGUGCCAUCCCUGGGCUGGUAGUCUUG
rnacentral:miRNA from 14 species